UGGCCUCCGUCACAGAUGUCUGGACUCUCCUCACACUCAUCAAUAUCUAAGAGGAACAUCAAAAGUGCAUUAAAGUGUGCUACAGGUCCUGAGAUCAGGCAUGAGGGCAUAGCCCUCACUACAGCUGCACUCGUAGCUGCCCUCCGAAUUGGUACAGUGGGUCUCACAGCCUCCAUUCAUAAUGUGUGUAGCAGUGGACAAAGUUCACUCCACUCACCAACGCAGCCCUGUCGGUCUGGUGUGGCCUGGUAACCAGUGUCACAG